rnacentral:rRNA from 1 species
UACGUAGGGUGCGAGCGUUAAUCGGAAUUACUGGGCGUAAAGCGUGCGCAGGCGGUUUUGUAAGCCAGAUGUGAAAUCCCCGGGCUCAACCUGGGAAUGGCAUUUGGAACUGCAAGACUAGAGUAUGGCAGAGGAGACUAGAAUUUCUGGUGUAGCAGUGAAAUGCGUAGAUAUCAGAAGGAAUACCGAUGGCGAAGGCAGGUCUCUGGGUCAAUACUGACGCUCAUGCACGAAAGCGUGGGGAGCAAACAGG